GAAGUUUAAACUGACAUCCUCUAUUAGCACAAACAACAUGCAUCUAUUUGACGCAAAAGGAAAAAUUAAGAAAUAUGACAAUCCAGAACAAAUUCUUGAAGAGUUCUUCCCCCUCCGGUUGGAGUAUUAUGAGAGAAGGAAGAACCAUAUAUUGAACAACCUUCAAUGACUUUUGCUGAUUUUGGACAACAAACCUAGGUUUAUAUUAGGGGUUGUGAAUGGAGAAAUGAUUGUAAGCAAUAGGAAGAAAGCUAAUUUGAUGAUUGAGUUGCAGCACAAAGGUUUCACUCCCAUGCCUAGGAAAUGUAAAUCUGCAGAACCCCAAGUUGCUGGGGCAAAUGAAGAUCAAGAAGAUGACAACAAUACUACAGAGCUGGAGAAGAAAUUGUAUAAGGAAGUUAAGGUAUUAGCAUUGUUUUAAAUUACUAGAUUUUAGAUUCUUUAAACUGAAAUGAAUCAUAAAAUUAGAAAUGGUUGGAGCUAUUCAUAGUUUCGUAUCCAUCUUAAUUAUUUUCUGUAUGAGGACAAACACUUCUAAAUUUGCUUACGAUAUAGUUUCCCUUUCAUACCUUCAUGUUGUUGGAGAGGAGAACAUAUAAAUUGAAACUUCAUUACUCAAUAACAUGUAUUUUUGA